rnacentral:misc_RNA from 1 species
UCCCGCUUGCACGGGCAGUUCCCCAAGAGUGCCCGACUUGACGCUGGCAACAUGGGGUGAGGGUUGCGCUCGUUGCGGGACUUAACCCAACAUCUCACGACACGAGCUGACGACAACCAUGCACCACCUGUAAACCGACCGCAAGCGGGGGACCUGUUUCCAGGUCUUACCGGUUCAUGUCAAGCCUUGGUAAGGUUCUUCGCGUUGCAUCGAAUUAAAGAACAUGCUCCGCUGCUUGUGCGGGCCCCCGCCAAUUCUUUUGAGUUUUAGCCUUGCGGCCGUACUCCCCAGGCGGAACACUUAACGCGUUGGCUGCGGCACAGAGGGAUUCGACUCCCCCCACACCUAGUGUUCAUCGUUUACGGCAUGGACUAC